GUCUAAUACCGGAUAGGACCCUGGACCGCAUGGUUUGGGGUGGAAAGUUUUUUCGGUCUGGGAUGGACUCGCGGCCUAUCAGCUUGUCGGUGAGGUAGUGGCUCACCAAGGCGUCGACGGGUAGCCGGUCUGAGAGGGUGACCGGCCACACUGGGACUGAGACACGGCCCAGACUCCUACGGGAGGCAGCAGUGGGGAAUAUUGCACAAUGGGGCGAAAGCCUGAUGCAGCAACGCCGCGCGCGGGAUGACGGCCUUCGGGUUGUAAACCGCUUUUAGUAAGGAAGAAGGGGAGCUUGCUCCUUGACGGUACUUGCAGAAAAAGGACCGGCUAACUACGUGCCAGCAG
rnacentral:rRNA from 1 species